rnacentral:rRNA from 1 species
CCUACGGGUGGCAGCAGUGAGGAAUAUUGGGCAAUGGUCGCAAGCCUGACCCAGCAACGCCGCGUGAAGGAAGACGGCUUUCUGGUUGUAAACUUCUUUUCUGAGGGACGAAGAAAGUGACGGUACCUCAGGAAUAAGCCACGGCUAACUACGUGCCAGCAGCCGCGGUAAUACGUAGGUGGCAAGCGUUAUCCGGAUUUAUUGGGUGUACAGGGCGUGUAGGCGGGAAAGCAAGUCAGAUGUUAAAACUCAGGGCUCAACCCUCAGCCUGCAUUUGAAACUGUUUUUCUUGAGUGCUGGAGAGGCAAGCGGAAUGCCGGGUGUAGCGGUGAAAUGCGUAGAUAUAAGGAGGAACACCAGUUGCGAAGGCGGAUUGCUGGACAGUAACUGACGCUGAGGCGCGAAAGCGUGGGGAGCAAACAGGAUUAGAUACCCCAGUAGUC